rnacentral:lncRNA from 1 species
UUCUAUGUGGCACUUAAUACAAGACAAGGAUUGAAAAUAGAAAUUGAGAUUGAAGAUACAUUGUCCAAAAAAUUAACAACAAUAUUAAUUGACUUUUCAAAUCCCUCAAUUUGAUGCAAGUUAUGCUUGGUAGUGGAUCAUAGAGUUAGAAAAUGCACACAAUUCACAGAUCCUUCUUUAAAAAGUACAGAUAUCAGCAACCAACAACAUAGCAACUCAAAUAAAAGGAAAUUAAAUAAAAAAAAUAAAAAUAAAAACGAUCCAAUUUGCAAAUAAGAGGCAUGCCAAUUUGAUGCAGAUGGAUUUAUUCUAAUUGAGAGAAGAUGCAAGGGAGCCCAAGGAUUACUAUAGA